GCAUGAUUGGUCAUUGGAUUUCACGAAGAGAGGGGUCGUCUAUUUCCCUUGUUUUCUAAUCUAAUUUUUGGCUUCGUGUCUCCUUUUUCCAACCAUUUCCAUCACCAGUUUUUGUCACCGAAAUACUUGACCAAUCACCCACAUUGGCUUGCAGUCGUGGUCGAAGUCGUUGGUCACCGGAUAUCAUUAUUUCACAAGUUAAAAGGUCGAGUCAUGUUUUCUUCUUCUUUUCCUAUUAUUCGAGCACCAUCCAACCGCCGUUCCACCACUGUACUGUCACCAUGCUUGGCCACCGAUCUUUAGAUAGUGAAGCCCCAGCACCACCGACCAAGCCUUCUCCUCUGUCCUUGAGAGGAUCGAACAUAGAUACCCUAUUUUAUUGGCCAAGAAACUAGGAAGAA
rnacentral:lncRNA from 1 species